UACGGAGGGUGCGAGCGUUAUCCGGAAUUACUGGGUUUAAAGGGUGCGUAGGCGGCCUUGUAAGUCAGGAGUGAAAGUUUGCAGCUCAACUGUAAAAUUGCUUCUGAUACUGCUUGGCUGGAAUUAGGAUGAGGUCAGCGGAAUGUGGCAUGUAGCGGUGAAAUGCAUAGAUAUGCCAUAGAACACCAAUUGCGAAGGCAGCUGGCUAGACCUGGAUUGACGCUGAGGCACGAAAGCGUGGGGAGCGAACAGG
rnacentral:rRNA from 1 species